GUGGGAUUGUAGCUCAGUGGUAGAGAACUUGACUUGCAUGUGUGAGGUACUGGGUUCGAUCCUCAGCACCACA
rnacentral:tRNA from 1 species